rnacentral:rRNA from 1 species
CGCUUACGGGGCGCAGCAGUGAGGAAUAUUGGUCAAUGGGCGAGAGCCUGAACCAGCCCAGUCGCGUGACGGAUGACGGCCCUACGGGUUGUAAACUUCUUUUGUCAGGGCGCAAUUGGGUCCACGUGUGGGCUUAGCGAGAGUACCUGAAGAAAAAGCAUCGGCUCACUCCGUGCCAGCAGCCGCGGUAAUACGGAGGAUGCGAGCGUUAUCCGGAUUUAUUGGGUUUAAAGGGUGCGUAGGCGGAAUAUCAAGUCAGCGGUAAAAAUUCGGGGCUCAACCCCGUCGUGCCGUUGAAAGUGAUG